UAGCCUAGUGGUUAAGGCUAUGGAUCGCUAACCCGGAGACGGCGGGUUCGAUUCCCGU
rfam:Aedes albopictus isolate Foshan contig75232, whole genome shotgun sequence.